rnacentral:rRNA from 1 species
UACGUAGGGGGCAAGCGUUGUCCGGAUUUAUUGGGCGUAAAGAGCUCGUAGGUGGUUCGGUAAGUCGGAUGUGAAAUCUCCAGGCUCAACCUGGAGGGGUCAUUCGAUACUGCCGUGACUAGAGGUCGGUAGGGGAGUGUGGAAUUCCUGGUGGAGCGGUGAAAUGCGCAGAUAUCAGGGGGAACACCCGUAGCGAAGGCGGCACUCUGGGCCGAUACUGACACUGAGGAGCGAAAGCGUGGGGAGCGAACAGG